UGGCGGACGGGUGAGUAACGCGUGGGUAACCUGCCUCAUACAGGGGGAUAACAGUUGGAAACGGCUGCUAAUACCGCAUAAGCGCACAGUACCGCAUGGUACGGUGUGAAAAACUCCGGUGGUAUGAGAUGGACCCGCGUCUGAUUAGGUAGUUGGUGGGGUAACGGCCUACCAAGCCGACGAUCAAUAGCCGACCUGAGAGGGUGACCGGCCACAUUGGGACUGAGACACGGCCCAA
rnacentral:rRNA from 1 species